rfam:Tncinocarpus reesii 1704 scaffold_5 genomic scaffold, whole genome shotgun sequence.
GACACUGUGGCGGAGUGGUUAACGCGAUGCCCUGCUAUCAGGUAUCAAGGCAUUGCCUUCGGGCGCGCAGGUUCGAAUCCUGCCGGUGUCG